rnacentral:rRNA from 1 species
CCUACGGGGGGCAGCAGUGGGGAAUAUUGGACAAUGGGGGGAACCCUGAUCCAGCCAUGCCGCGUGUGUGAAGAAGGCCCUCGGGUUGUAAAGCACUUUCAGUGAGGAAGAACGCCUGGUGGUUAAUACCCAUCAGGAAAGACAUCACUCACAGAAGAAGCACCGGCUAACUCCGUGCCAGCAGCCGCGGUAAUACGCAGGGUGCGAGCGUUAAUCGGAAUUACUGGGCGUAAAGCGCGCGUAGGUGGCUUGAUAAGCCGGUUGUGAAAGCCCCGGGCUCAACCUGGGAACGGCAUCCGGAACUGUCAAGCUAGAGUGCAGGAGAGGAAGGUAGAAUUCCCGGUGUAGCGGUGAAAUGCGUAGAGAUCGGGAGGAAUACCAGUGGCGAAGGCGGCCUUCUGGACUGACACUGACACUGAGGUGCGAAAGCGUGGGUAGCAAACAGGAUUAGAUACCCCAGUAGUC